rnacentral:rRNA from 1 species
AGAGUUUGAUCCUGGCUCAGAUUGAACGCUGGCGGCAGGCCUAACACAUGCAAGUCGAGCGGUAGAGAGAAGCUUGCUUCUCUUGAGAGCGGCGGACGGGUGAGUAAUGCCUAGGAAUCUGCCUGGUAGUGGGGGAUAACGCUCGGAAACGGACGCUAAUACCGCAUACGUCCUACGGGAGAAAGCAGGGGACCUUCGGGCCUUGCGCUAUCAGAUGAGCCUAGGUCGGAUUAGCUAGUUGGUGAGGUAAUGGCUCACCUAGGCGACGAUCCGUAACUGGUCUGAGAGGAUGAUCAGUCACACUGGAACUGAGACACGGUCCAGACUCCUACGGGAGGCAGCAGUGGGGAAUAUUGGACAAUGGGCGAAAGCCUGAUCCAGCCAUGCCGCGUGUGUGAAGAAGGUCUUCGGAUUGUAAAGCACUUUAAGUUGGGAGGAAGGGCAUUAACCUAAUACGUUGGUGUCUUGACGUUACCGACAGAAUAAGCACCAGCUAACUCUGUGCCAGCAGCCGCGGUAAU